GGGAAAGGCAGAGAGCAGAGCAUAGUGAAGGCAGCUAAAUUCAAUUGGGGCAUGUUGAGAUUGAGUUCUCUGUGGUCAUUCAGACAGAACUGUCCACUAAGAAGAAAUGGAAUCUAUGGUUCUGCAGGUCAGAAUGGUCUGUACCAGAGAUGAAGUCAUCGGUCUACAGAUGAAUUGAGUGAAAGCAAUCACCCAGAGCCAGGCAAGGUGUCAGAGCUCCAACAUCAAAAGGUGGUUGACUGGUGGGUUGGUAAGAAGAAUUUACCACUGACCGUAUAGGACUGGAAAAGGAAAGGUUUAUUAGGUAGAAAGAACGCUGUCGAAGAGUGCAGCUGCAGCGGAGCACCUCAGCAAGAGAGGACUGAGUGCAACACAGUGGAUCCUUCCUCAGGGGUAUUUAUGGACCUUAAAGCCGGAGCUGAAGAUGAUCUGUGGAAGGGAGAGAGCAGCAUGCUGGAGGGGAUGAUUUGGCAAGUCCGCUGAAGAACACAAGCCUCGACUGCUCCCCGGCGUGGAAGAAGGAAGGCGAUAAAUACUGUAACGGAGGACGAGGAAGGAGCACUGAGUUCUAUGUGGAAAGAAAGGGUCAAAAAGAGGAAAACGCCUAUUCACAUGCAUGGCGUUUAACAGAUUUAUUAGGUUGUUUGCUGUGUGAUGUAAAUCUCCUCCUCUCUCUCCUUGAAAUUUCUUGAGUGAAUUCUACAUUGUUCAUUCAUUCAUGUUUAUGUGCCAGCAAGCUUUGGGAGCACUGUAAAAAUAAAAAAGGUUAGACCACU
ensembl:lncRNA novel transcript